AUGUUUAAACAGGGAAGUAGUGUUUUAACUUAUGUAUGUCACUUUUUAAUGUUUUAUAAUUAUUUUAUGUAUUUAUAUGGACUAAACAUUAAAAAUGUAAUUACAAACAAACUGUUUAUACCUAAUCAUAUUUUUAAACAAACAUUUAAUGAUAAUUGUUCAAAACGUCAAAAUCUUAAAAAUUACCGGAAUAACAACACCCGUGUACUUAUUAAAUACAAAAACAAAUUUAGUACUGGUAUAAAUUUUAAUAUACAAUAUAAUGAUAUAAGAAAAAAGAAAAAAAAAAAUCAAGUGUUUUUCGAAAAUUGUCGCAAUAAAAAUGAAAAAAACAUAAGUUGUAUGAAAAGCAUAUAUAACACAACAGUAAAAAAAAUAUUAGUAACAAUUUUAUUUAAAAAUAAAAAAAUACAAAAUGGUUUAGCAGAAAUAAAUGAGAAACAAGAUGAUAAUGAAGUUAAGGAAGUUGUAACAGAAACAGUAACUCCCCAAGUUAUUAAUAAAUUUAAUAAAGUGGAACGGACAGAUGUAUGUAGAGACAAUAGAAAUAAAAAAAAUGAAAAAAUAUAUGAUGAAAAAAACGAUGAAGAAUAUAAAAAUAUAAAUAUGGACGUAACAACUAAUUGUACAAAUAUAGAAGGUACCAACGUGGAUCUAAACACUUGUAUAAAAAAUAAAAACAGUGUUAUUAAUAUAGUAAAACGUGAAGAAAACAAAAAACAAAAAAAAAAAAGACAGAUGAAUGAAGAAGUUCGUAAAAAAUUAUCGGAUCUUGCUAAACUAAGAUGGAGUAAUGGAGAAGAAAGAAAAAAGCUUUUAAGAUGUAAAAAUAAAUUUAAACAUUCAGAAAAAACUAAAAAAUUAUUAUCAUAUAAAAUUAAAUUAAAAUGGACUGAUGAAAAUUAUAGGAAAAGUAUUAUUGAAAAAACUCGAUCAUUUAAUCAACGUGAAAAAACAAAAAAAAAUAAAUCAUUAUUAUUAAAAGAAAAAUGGAAAACAAAAGAAUUUAGAGAAAAAAUGUUAUGUAAUAGAAAACCUUUUACUAUUGAAAGAAAAAAAAAAAUAUCCGAAAUUAUAAAACAAAAAUGGAAAGAAGAAGAGUACAAACAAAAAACGUUAAAAGCUAUAAAGGAUAAUUACAAAAAAAGGAAAUUACAGGUUGGAUUGAAUCCCAAUUUGAAUUAUGUUCAAAAUAUGAUGCAAUUUAAGCAGUUAGGAAUUUGUGCUCCCAAAAUAAGAUACUUCCCGGAUAUACAUAAAGAAAAAUUGAAAGGGAAAAAAAAAACAAAAAAGGCAAACAAAAAAAUAGAAAAAAAAAAUUAUAAAGAAAAUUGGAAAACUAUUUAUGACAGCAUAAUAGAUAACAGCGAAUUACAACACUCGUUGUCAUAUUUAAACGAAAUGGAUAACUUAAGCGUUAGAGCAAGCGUAUAGUUGUUUUUAUAAACAUAUUAGGGAAAAAAGUUACAUGAAACAAAAAAAAAAACAAACAAAAAAAACAAACAAAAAAAACAAACAAAAAAAACAAACAAAAAAAACAAACAAAAAAAACAAACAAAAAAAACAAACAAACAAAAAAAACAAACAAAAAAAAAAAAACAAACAAAAAAAAAAAAACAAACAAACAAAAAAAAACAAACAAAAAAAACAAACAAAACAAACAAACAAAAAAAACAAACAAAAAAAAACAAACAAACAAAUUACUUAAAAAGAGAAGUAAAUCGAGUGGGCUACUAUAUCUAUAUGUACACAUUAUAUACACAUUUUUAUUAACAUAAAACUAUUUUUAAAUGAAAAUGCAUGUGACAAAUAUGUAUAAAAAUUGAUAACUUUUUUUUUUUUUUUUUUUUAUUUUAUUUUUUCUUAUGUAACACAGUACUCUCUCGUUUUUUUUUUUUUUUUUUUUUUUCUCCCUUAUAUGUGUUUGGCCUAAUGUUUUCAAAUUAUGUUUGAUUUUGUACCAUUGCGCACAUAUAUAUACACUUAUCUAUAUAUAAUGCAUACACAUACACACAUACACUUUAGUACAAAAAUCAGAACAAAAUUUUUUUUUGGUAUCUUCGUUUUAUUUCAUUCAUAUAUGCAUUUUUAAUAUUGUUAUAUUGCAAACUCAAUAUAACUGUAUUAUUUUCCUCCUGUUCAUUGCGAUUUGAUGUAUUUUUGUUUUGUUGAAUCGGUUUGGAAGGAAAAUUUUUCAAUACUUUUUUUAGAAUGUCAAUUUGUGUUGAAUAUUUAAGAUUAUUAUGAUCCAAAUUUAUAUGUACAUUAUAAAUUUUUAAAUCUCUUUUACUUUUUUUUUGUAAUUGGUAUAUAUGUUUAAAAUAUUUCAACGUCAUUGGAUAGCUUUCAUUAUCUAUUAUAUUCAUAGAAAAAUCUAAUUUUUUUACUACUAUAUAAUUACAAGUACAAAAAUUUGAUAAAAAAGAAGAAUAUAAAGAACUGUUAAUGUUGUUUCCUGACAAUAACAAUUUUUUUAAUUUUAAUUUUUUUCGUUUUUUUUUUUUUAUAUUACUACUACUGGAACGCUCACCAGUACUAGAAGAACCAGCAUUAGCAAUACGUUCAUCAGUCAGUGUCGAAUCAGUUAUUACGACAUUUGUUAAUGCAAAGGAUAAAGUUAGCAAUCCCUUAUAACUAAAAUUAUUCCAUCUUAAGUCUAAUAUCUUAAGAUUAUUUAAUUUAUUUUUUUUAGUUAAAGUUGAUAUGUACAUAAGAUCUCUAUCAUUUAAUUUAUUAGAACAUAACCUUAAAAUUUUAAUUUUAUUUAAAUUUAUAUAUGCUAAGAUUUUUUUUGUAAAUAUAGGGGAACAAUUAUUAACUUCAUGUAAUAUAUCCUCUGAACUAUUGUAGUCAUCACUGUUUGUACAACUAUGUAUAUUAUAUGUAUUAAUUUCGUUAUGUCUUGUUGUACAAUCAAUAAUCGUUGUUCUUUUGUUUAUGUUUUUAUUAGAACUAUAAAUGUUAUAGUUAUUACUUUUACAUACAUUUUCAAUUUCGUGCAAAAUACUACUUGUUUCAUUAACAUGCGAAACUGACGUUGAUUUUGAGUUAUGCUCCUGUUCGCUUUUUUCAACAGCGUGUAUAAGUGAAUGUUCGACCAAUUUAUUUACUUCUUCAGUCUCUUCCGUUUUUCUCGUCUCGUCCGUUUGUCUUGUUUUGCCCGUCUGUCCUGUUUCUUCCGUUUGUCUCGUUUUGUCCGUCUGUCCUUUUUCUUCCGUUUGUCUCGUCUUGUCCGUCUGUCCUGUUUCUUCCGUUUGUCUCAUCUUGUCCGUCUGUCCGGUUUCUUCCGUUUGGCUCGUCUCUUUUGCUUGUUCUACUUGCUCAUUCUCUGUAAACACGCACUUUCUUUUUUCCUUUUGCUUUAAAACAAAAAUAUUGUAGAAAGUAUAUUUAUCAAUAGUGACUUUUCUUUUCUUCUUUUUGAAGAUUAUUUGAUUUUCAUCAUGUAACAGAGCGUUUGUUUUUUUGUUUUUUUCAUUUCCAUCUAAUUUGUUUAUACUCCAACUUUUAUCAUCUUUUUCAUUAUUUUUCACCUGUGUUUUUUGUUGUUUAUUUGGUAUGGAUUUUAUCGUUGUCUCUUUUGUAAAUAUUUUUUUUUUUAUUUUUUUUUUAUUUUUUUUUUCCUUCAUCUUAUUCCCAUUAUUCCCAUUAUUCCCAUUAUUCCCAUUAUUCCCACUAUUCCCAUUAUUCCCAUUAUUCCUACUAUUCCCAUUAUUCCCAUUAUUCCCAUUAUUACUAUUAUUCUCAUUAUUACCAUUAUUACUAUGAUUACUAUUAUUCCCAUUAUUACCAUUAUUACUAUGAUUACUAUUAUUACUAUUAUUACCAUUACCAAGUUGUUUUAUUUUAUUUUUAUUUUUUCUCUUUAUAUAAUUAGCGUUAAAAUAAAUAGCAAGUUGUUUAUAAUACCUACCGUCA
ensembl:lncRNA